rnacentral:rRNA from 8 species
UUCGGUGGCCAUGGCGAGGGGGAAACACCCGGUCCCAUUCCGAACCCGGAAGUUAAGCCCCUCAGCGCCGAAGGUACUGCACACGGGAGUGUGUGGGAGACUAGGACGUCGCCGGAC